ACAAGGCGGUGGAGCAUGUGGUUUAAUUCGAUGAUACGCGAGGAACCUUACCUGGGCUCAAAUGUAUGUUGACGUAUUCUGAAAGGGAUACUUCUUCGGACAAUAUACAAGGUGCUGCAUGGUUGUCGUCAGCUCGUGCCGUGAGGUGUCGGGUUAAGUCCCAUAACGAGCGCAACCCCUAUCAUUAGUUGCCAUCAGGUCAAGCUGGGGACUCUAAUGAAACUGCCUACGCAAGUAGUGAGGAAGGUGGGGAUGACGUCAAGUCCUCAUGGCCUUUAUGACCAGGGCUACACACGUACUACAAUGGCCGAUACAAAGGGCAGCGACACUGCGAGGUGAAGCCAAUCCCGUAAAAUCGGUCUCAGUCCGGAUUGGAGUCUGCAACUCGACUCCAUGAAGUUGGAAUCGCUAGUAAUCGUGGAUCAGCAUGCCACGGUGAAUACGUUCCCGGGCCUU
rnacentral:rRNA from 1 species